AGGAGGAGAAGAAGAAGAGGAAGAAGAAAAAAUUGAUUUACGACAGCGAUACGAUAUCUAUUUAAGUUUCGUAGAAAAAGUUCGGGCACUCGAGGCUAGCGUUAAGAAAUCCUGAGACGUAUUCACGACGAUCGUGCAUCGUCGAUUCAACAGCUCAAUUUAACUAUUGUAAACAUCUCCUUAUGAAAAAUAGAGAUAGUCGGUUAAUAAGUGAGAUAUCGCGAUUCUUAUGGGAACGAAUAUAAAAAAUAUUAUAUACGAAUCAUAAUGAAUAACGGCAUAGGUAUCGAGAUGAUUUUUCCGUUAGUCUCAGCAUUAGCAAAUGUACGUAGUUUCGACGUAUGACUGACGAUUAGUCUUAUUUACGAAAUACGAUGACUCGUGAAUAGAGACUAUUCACACCUACCUAUAUAAUAAUAAUAUAUAUAUAUAUAUAAUAUAUAUAUAUAUAUAUAUAUAUGUGUAUAUAUAUAUAUAUACAUGUAUGUAUAUACAUAUAUAUGUUUAAAAAAAAAGUGUAUAUCUAGCGAAUUACUGUUAUCUAGUAAUCGAGAAAGAGAUAGCGUAGAGGUUCUCGUCUCACCGACAACAUCGUCUUAUUCGAGAACAUUGCUGCUUUUUUUUUUAUCGUCAAAAGAAGAUGGUUCGAUUUAGUUGGAGGAUAAAUGUUUUUACACGGAUCAAUCGAUGGAAAGAAGGGGGGGGGGGAUGAAAUAAAAGAUGAAAAUUAUAAAUGAUGAGAUCGCGUUCGUAAGAAUGAACGAAAAGAAAAGUUCGUAUUCGUUCGAAACGUGUCCUGAAUCAUCUUAUUCAGCUUGUUUCCGUUCUCUAAUUCUUUAUCUCUUUUUACCACAGUGUCGAUUCAUCGGUAUUUAACGAUAACGAAUUAAUAAGCUACUACUAUCGCGUGUACGCGAGAAAAAAAAAAUUAAAGAUAUAUCCUUUCUUAAAUUGUUUUCUAUAUAACGGGCACAAAGAUUCGUACGACGAAGAGAAGGGAGGGAGGGGGGAUAGAUAGAGGCGCGAAGAUACGUGUGUCGAUAGGAAAGCAGUUUACGUACGAGGAAUUGUAAAAUUGAAUCGAUUAACUGCGUUUUAAGAGAUUAAAUCGAAGAGAUGAAUCGGACUAUUUAAAAGAAAGAAAGAAAGAAAAGGAAGGAAGGA